rnacentral:rRNA from 1 species
AUACGUAGGGAGCGAGCGUUGUCCGGAAUUACUGGGCGUAAAGGGCGCGUAGGCGGCGCUUCAAGUCGUCUGUCAAAUGGGAGGGCUUAACCCUUUUCCGCAGACGAAACUGGAGAGCUUGAGAAGCAGAGAGGCAAACAGAAUUCCUGGUGUAGCGGUGAAAUGCGUAGAUAUCAGGAAGAAUACCAGUGGCGAAGGCGGUUUGCUGGCUGCAUACUGACGCUGAAGCGCGAAAGCCAGGGGAGCAAACGGGAUUAGAUACCCCGGUAGUCCUGGCAGUAAACGAUGUAUGCUGGGUGUGAGACUAGCGAUAGUUUCGUGCCGAAGUUAACGCGAUAAGCAUACCGCCUGGGGAGUACGGUCGCAAGAUUGAAACUCAAAUGAAUUGGCGGGG